CAGGCGCCUGAGGUUGCAAAAUAGCACCCAUGAGGAGCUGAGAUUGCACCAGGGACCCCAAGAACAAACCAUCCACCCCCUUUUCCCUCCCUUUUAAACAACAGAAAUGCACCCCCUUAACCAAAUAUAUAAUAUCUGCCGAAAGAAACAUUCCCGGCGCGCUCGGAGCUUCAUAAAUAAAUAAACGCGUCCCCCCCCUCCCCGUCCCCCGGAGCUCAGCGCGGGGGUGUGCGGAGCCCGUCUGCGCUGCUGGCGCUCUGCGCGCCUCUGAGGAUGCACACACGGAACGGGCUGAGAAACCCGCUGCAAGGGAGGCAGAAAAGUUAAUUAGUCGCAUUCGGAAAACUUUAACCCCUCGGCUUUGCAAACCGUCCUGAAAUGUCUGAGUACUUUGCUACAGUUAAAGAAAACAACACCACAAAAAAAAAAAGGCAAAAAAAAACUUUUUUUUUUUUUUCCUGCGUGUGUGAACUUUGCAGAGAGGCGAUCCCGGCGGGUUGAUUAACUUAGUUUGCUAUAAGAGAAGAAAUCGGGUUUGACAACUUGUUUCUGUUCAUGUUUGUCUAAUUACCAUAGAUUAGUAUUCCCUCUUCAGAAAAGCCGCGCUCGCUUGAACCAAACCUUCGCUUUUCAUGUAGUGCACCUUUUUCUUUUCUUUUUUUUCCCCUUGCAAAUACUCCGUAUUUGGGACAUAAAUGGAAAAUCGAAAUAUUUCCUUUAUCUCUUGCUUUAAAUCCCGAUCUCCUCCCGAGUCCGGUACCGCAUUGUGCCCUCUUGCGUUUUUUUGUUAAUACCGAAUCUAUGCACGACCUUUUCUCGCUAAAAAGAAGCCUUGGGUUACGGUCAAAAGCCGAGUUUAUUGAUUGUUACCGAUCGAGACUGUUUUUUUUAAGGACAGGGAAGCUGGCGGUGUGAUGGGGCUGCUGCCUUGGAGGCGCGCAGAGCCUCCGCGGGUUUGCAUCCCCCCCUUUAAGCCCGUUCCCUCUACAAAAUCCCUAUUUUUGCAAAGUUAAAAGGCUGGAAGGGAAAACUCGAAAGUUUUGAGCAAUUCCCCGUCUCUCUAAAAGCUGCCCUUUACCCUGGGCUUUGCCUCUCGGGUUUGCCCGGGUGUCCUCGCAGAGAUGGGCUCUGCUCUACCUGGCGCAUCCCCCCCGCGCCCCACAUCCCUCUUUGCUCAAGGUAGAGUGGGAUCUCUGACCGCCGCCUUCCCGGCUUCCAAGUGGGAAAAUCAGAGACAACUCAUAGGUUAAAAAAAAAAAAUAAAGCAAACCAUCCACAACCAAACGACUAAAUUGGCUGAGCCCCAUCGUUCGUGUUUUAUCAAGGAUUUGUUUCCUGUCCGAAUUUGUAGCCAUCUGUCUGUCGAGCCUUACAUGCAAUGAAAUGACACGCCUUAUAAUACACACUCCUCUCUACUUGCAUCUGUGAAUGUGUGUGCUACAAAUCUAGAAUUACACACAUUACAUGGUGUCUGUGGAGCUGCCAAUGCGGCGCUCUCUGACGGAGCUUUAAGUAUUUACGAAACUGGUAUCUUAUUACGAGCUAAUUUAUUUUAAACAUCGUGUUUACAGCAGCAAAGCCAAGAUUGUUUCAUGCCACGGCUGCAAUGAACAUUUCGACUGAAACGUAAUCCUUAUAAUUCAAGGAAAUAACAUGCAAAGGAAGUAGUUUUCCAUCCUCCACCCCCUCUCUGACUGAUAUCUCUUAUAUUUGUUCUUGCAGAGUUUCCCUUUGUGUAUGGAGUGGACCCAAACUUACGUAGAUCUCCUUUAUUGGUAUGCAAGGGGGAAAUAAUAAUAAUAAUAAAAAAAAAAGUCAUAUUGAAAGAGAACGAUGACUAGAGAAGAAAAAUAAGUCUCGGAUGCGAGCCUGAAGUUAACAGCUUCACAGGAGCCGAACAGCUCACACAUUGGAUUGCAGAGUUACGCAAUAUUUGUAGCUCUGCAAACCCAGCGAUUAUCUGGCAUGAGCAGCUCCGCAUGCAAAUUCUGAGCUAAGAAAUGGGAUGUCCUGAUAAUCCAAUGCCCCGUGUUCCCGAGGACCGCCGCGCUCUGCCCUCUCCGCAGAAACCACCCACAUCAUAAUGACCCUGGAGAGCAACGCGAAACCCGACUGGCUUCCGCACCAACUUCGCCAAAUUCCGGGGCUCGCCUGAAGACAGGCGAACUGGCAAGAGAUUCGGCGAUGAGAAAUCAAAAUAAAACACCACAACUGCCCACAAAGGGUUUGGUAAUUUUUUAAAGGCAAUAUCUAAAACCCUUCGUCACCGAACUACUGCAAAACCCUUCAUUCCAAGGCUACUGUCUCCAGACUUGAACUCCGGGUAAAAAUAUUCACAGACAAAGGAGCAUAGCAAGGAGAAGAGAACCACAGAGGUUACAGGGAGAAGGCAUCAUAAUCAUUCAUGUUAUGUACAGGGCUCUAUACGCUAAGUAUAAU